GAUGAAGAACGUAGCGAAAUGCGAUAAGUAAUGUGAAUUGCAGAAUUCAGUGAAUCAUCGAAUCUUUGAACGCACAUUGCGCCCUCUGGUAUUCCGGGGGGCAUGCCUGUUCGAGCGUCAUUACAACCCUCAAGCUUUGCUUGGUAUUGGACAUUGCCAGUUUCUGGCAGGUCUUAAAAUCAGUGGCGGUGCCAUUUGGCUUCAAGCGUAGUAAUUCUUCUCGCUUUGGAGAUCCAAGUGGUUACUUGCCAAUAACCCCCAAUUUUUUCAGGUAGACCUCGGAUCAGGUAGGGAUACCCGCUGAACUUAAGCAUAUCAAUAAGCGGAGGA
rnacentral:misc_RNA from 1 species